UACGUAGGGUGCAAGCGUUGUCCGGAAUUAUUGGGCGUAAAGAGCUCGUAGGCGGCUCGUCGCGUCGGCUGUGAAAACCUGAGGCUCAACCUCAGGCCUGCAGUCGAUACGGGCGGACUUGAGUACUGCAGAGGAGACUGGAAUUCCUGGUGUAGCGGUGAAAUGCGCAGAUAUCAGGAGGAACACCGGUGGCGAAGGCGGGUCUCUGGGCAGUAACUGACGCUGAGGAGCGAAAGCGUGGGGAGCGAACAGG
rnacentral:rRNA from 1 species